UCCCUACCUUACCAGACUCCGUUGCGAUGGAAGGAGAUGGAGCAGCAGCAGAAAAAGCACCGGCGGCAGACGCCGUCGCCACGAGCCAAGAGGAACCAACUCCGUCUUCCUCUUCCUCCACCAAGAGCCCUUUCGACCCCUGCAUCUCGGCAGCGGCGCCGGCGCCGGCGGCGACGUCACCCGGCGAGAUCCUCCGAGCGCUGCAAGUGGUGGAGAGGGAUUCCGUCGCCAUCGCCGAGAGCUACGCCUCCCUCUUCUCCUCUCUCCGCAUCGCUCUCUCCGAGGUCACUAGUACUUCACUUGAAAACAUGCAAUGCUUCAAUGAUGUCGUUGGCCGCCUACAAGAAUCUGCUCUUGAUGCCGCAACAAAGGGAAAUCGGUACAUAAAUUCCUGCCUAAGAUUGAAUGAGGAAAUGAAAAGCUUGGAAAGUCUGGUUCUGCAGUUAAAGAUAUUAAGGAAGAACGUGGACAAUCUGGAUGUGGCUGUAAACCGAGUACUCCGACUUCCCUGAGUCGGCACCAUCUGCGAGCAUUUGAAGAUGAGUUUUAUAGAAGCCUGAAAGAUGCUGUGAUGGAAGUACAUAAGAAGGAUAUAAUGAAUUGCAGCUCCUGAAACCAAACGAGUGCUCCUGGCGCUUCCUCGGCUAAGAUCGUUGUUCAAGUACAUCGACUUAGGACUGGACAAAUCUCCACUCGACCACCAAUAGUGCCAGCCUGAGCCAGAGAGGACACUGCAGGGAGAUCUCCUCUGGCGACACAAGUUGACGACGUUUCAUCUCAGUCAGUGCAUGCACUUCAUCGUCCCGGCUGUGCAUCAGGGUCGUGUAUUGACCGGUAGGUAGAUAGAUAGCAGCCUGCUUGUGAGGUGUAGGAUCCAAGAAAACAAACAAAGCAAUACAAGUUGCAAAAGUCCAAAUAAAAAAGAGACAGCACUAAAUUAUAUAUCACCUACUGAUAAGACACCCAUGAAAAGGACAUCUAAAGAUCACCAUCAUUGAUAUUGCUACAAAGGAACAAUAGGUCAUCACCCACCACUUUGAAACGACCAACCAUUCUCAUGCUAUGCCAUUCCCUUUCUACACCACUGCUACUUUAUCCAUCACAUGGCAGAACACUUGGAAUGACAUUUUCAAUAUGACAUGGCCACGUGAAGGGGGCAUGGAUUAUAGGCAUUGCUGACAACUUAAUUCUCAGGAAUCUUAACCUACAAAUUGUGGUCCCUCGUAAGCUAAUUAUGCAUACUACGUGGAGUCAUUACCUCUAGCAGUAUUCUUCGGCCAUUUGUCUCUCUGUGAUUGGCCUUUCGAACAUAGUUUACUUGGAUUGGCGUGACAAUAAUGCUGCAGCGUAAUGGAACCGAAAGGCCCCUUCAAUGAUCUGACUUGGAUAUGGACCAUACGGCAAUAAUGCUGUUCCCUGUUGUGGGGCUAUACAAAGGACUGUGAGGACGUUCACCAGUGACAGUGCACUGCCAUUCUCCUGUCUCAGUAAAAUUGUUGCACACAGGUAGAAUGUAACCUGGCUUUUAGCUCGUCUUGUUUUCUGAUACAAGAUUCUCUAGGGGAUUGUCUGCAUGUAGCCGCUCCAUCGUUACAGUUGUUGCAGGUUCAAACACAACGUAGUUUUCUUGAUGUCUGCAAGUGAAAGUGACAUGGUAGCUUUGACCACUGGACCGCUUCACUGAACUUUCAUAUUGGAGGAGAUACAAGUGUCGUUUAAGAGGGUUUAGGAAUGGAGUCCAUAGUGCAAGUUGAAGUUUCGUACUGGUAGAACUGGACCGCCAAUACAUGUGAAGAACUGUUGCAUUAAAGGGCUGCUGAGGGAAGAUAAAAGAGACGUACAAGUGACUACGUUACGACUCCAUCGCAUGUGAUUGAUUUGAGUCAGUGGUCCUUCUGCGGUACCAUUGUACGUACUGAUCAUUUGUUGUUUGACAUGCUUUACAAACAUUUUUGAUUCAUGUACUGCAACUUAAUG